rnacentral:rRNA from 1 species
AGUGAACGCUGGCGGUAGGCCUAACACAUGCAAGUCGAACGGCAGCACAGUAAGAGCUUGCUCUUACGGGUGGCGAGUGGCGGACGGGUGCGGAAUACAUCGGAAUCUACUUUUUCGUGGGGGUUAACGUAGGGAAACUUACGCUAAUACCGCAUACGUCCUACGGGUGAAAGCAAUGGAUCUUCUGACCUUGCGCGAUUGUAUGAGCCGAUGUCGGAUUGGCUAGUUGGCGGGGUAAAGGCCCACCAAGGCAACGAUCCGUAGCUGGUCUGAGAGGAUGAUCAGCCACACUGGAACUGAGACACGGUCCAGACUCCUACGGGAGGCAGCAGUGGGGAAUAUUGGACAAUGGGGGAAAGCCUGAUACAGCCAUACCGCGGGGGUGAAGAAGGACUGCGGGUUGGAAAGCCCUUUUGUUGGGAAAGAAAAGCAGCAGGUUAAUACCCCGCUGUACUGACGGUACCCAAAGAAUAAGCACCGGCUAACUUCGUG